rnacentral:lncRNA from 1 species
CCGUCCUCUCCUCCGUGACCUCUCCAUGGCGGCUGCGAAGGCCUCGGCGAAGGAAGACGACGCGUAGGGGCUCUUCUCCUUGGCCGACCUCGGUCUCCAAGGUCCUCCCGCCCUCACCCUCUCUGAUCCCCCGUGUCUCCGUGGCCCUGGUGAUUUGGAGCUCACCCCCAAUCUCGUCCAUGUAUGAUUUGAAGCUCACCCCCAAUCUCGUCCAUGUAUGAUUGAAGUAGAAGUUUUACAGAAGACGCAUGUUCAAACUCCACUUAUUUGUUGCAUAUGAAUAUUAAUUCAUUCUAUUGGAUUCCUGUUAUGUUAAGUACAAUUACCAUCUUCAAAUCAGAAAUUACAAUCCUCUCAUCUUCCAUAUCACCAGCUUUGAGAAAUAUUCAGCGCAAUGAUCUACAGUACUUUACAGCAAAGCAGUGUCUAGG